rnacentral:lncRNA from 1 species
GUUUCCUUACCUUGACUGUUGACGUGUUCAGAAAUUGUUUAUUGUUGUUCCUUUCACAAAUUAAUUAUCCUUUUUAAGAUUUAAACAUAUGCAAGCACACUGUAUACUUUCACCUGUGUAUAUGUAAUCACCUGAACCGAUCAAAUAUGUAUAAACAAAGUAUACUGAACAGAAACAAGUUUACAUCACAACUACUUGAAGCAUUUAAAA